AGUUUUGCACAGGGGCAGUUUUGUAGCGAAUGAGGUAUAUCUGAGGCAUAAUUAUUGCUAACUGAAAAUUUUUCUUUCAACACUUUUUAAAACAAAAUAAUUCAGGUGUAGCAUCACA
ensembl:snRNA U4 U4 spliceosomal RNA